rnacentral:rRNA from 1 species
GGAUGUACGGCCACAUUGGACUGAGACACGGCCCAGACUCCUACGGGAGGCAGCAGUGGGGAAUAUUGCACAAUGGGGGAAACCCUGAUGCAGCGACGCCGCGUGGAGGAAGAAGGUCUUCGGAUUGUAAACUCCUGUUGUUGAGGAAGAUAAUGACGGUACUCAACAAGGAAGUGACGGCUAAAUACGUGCCAGCAGCCGCGGUAAUACGUAUGGUGCAAGCGUUAUCCGGAUUUACUGGGUGUAAAGGGAGCGUAGGUGGCAAGGCAAGCCAGAAGUGAAAACCCGGGGCUCAACCGCGGGAUUGCUUUUGGAACUGUCAUGCUAGAGUGCAGGAGGGGUGAGCGGAAUUCCUAGUGUAGCGGUGAAAUGCGUAGAUAUUAGGAGGAACACCGGAGGCGAAGGCGGCUCACUGGACUGUAACUGACACUGAGGCUCGAAAGCGUGGGGAGCAAACAGGAUUAGAUACCCUGGUAGUCCACGCGGUAAACGAUGAAUACUAGAUGUCGGGUAGCAAAGCUACUCGGUGUCGUCGCAAACGCAAUAAGUAUUCCACCUGGGGAGUACGUUCGCAAGAAUGAAACUCAAAGGAAUUGACGGGGACCCGCACAAGCGGUGGAGCAUGUGGUUUAAUUCGAAGCAACGCGAAGAACCUUACCUGCUCUUGACAUCCCAUUCGAUAGAGGGUAAUGCCUCUAGCCCUUCGGGGGAAUGGAGACAGGUGGUGCAUGGUUGUCGUCAGCUCGUGUCGUGAGAUGUUGGGUUAAGUCCCGCAACGAGCGCAACCCUUAUUGUCAGUAGCCAGCAGGUCGCGCUGGGCACUCUGAUGAGACUGCCGGGGAUAACCCGGAGGAAGGUGGGGAUGACGUCAAAUCAUCAUGCCCCUUAUGAGCAGGGCUACACACGUGCUACAAUGGCGUAAACAGAGGGAAGCGAAGGAGUGAUCUGGAGCAAAUCUCAAAAAUAACGUCUCAGUUCGGAUUGUAGUCUGCAACUCGACUACAUGAAGCUGGAAUCGCUAGUAAUCGCAGAUCAGAAUGCUGCGGUGAAUACGUUCCCGGGUCUUGUACACACCGCCCGUCACACCAUGGGAGUCGGUAAUGCCCGAAGUCAGUGACUCAACCGAAAGGAGAGAGCUGCCGAAGGCAGGACUGGUAACUGGGGUGAAGUCGUAACAAGGUAGCCGUAUCGGAAGGUGCGGCUG